AUACAGAGGGUGCGAGCGUUAAUCGGAAUUACUGGGCGUAAAGCGCGCGUAGGCGGUUUGAUAAGUCGGAUGUGAAAGCCCUGAGCUUAACUUGGGAACUGCAUUCGAAACUGUCUGACUAGAGUAUGGUAGAGGGUAGUGGAAUUCCGGGUGUAGCGGUGAAAUGCGUAGAGAUCCGGAGGAACACCAGUGGCGAAGGCGGCUACCUGGACCAAUACUGACGCUGAGGCGCAAGAGCGUGGGGAGCAAACAGGAUUAGAAACCCCAGUAGUCC
rnacentral:rRNA from 1 species